UAGGGAAUCUUCCACAAUGGACGAAAGUCUGAUGGAGCAACGCCGCAUGAGUGAAGAAGGGUUUCGGCUCGUAAAACUCUGUUGUUAAAGAAGAACAUAUCUGAGAGUAACUGUUCAGGUAUUGACGGUAUUUAACCAGAAAGCCACGGCUAACUACGUGCCAA
rnacentral:rRNA from 1 species